UACUGAGCCCUGGGGGACUCCACUAGUGACUGGCCUCCAACUGGAUUUGACUCCAUUCACCACAACUCUUUGGGCCCAGCUACUCCACCAGUUUUUAACCCAAUGAAGCAUACGCCAGCCCAAGCCAAGAGCAGUCAGUUUCUUGAGGAGAAUGUUGUGGGAAAUGGUGUCAAAAGCCUUACUGAAAUCAAGGUAGACCACAUCCACAGCCUUUCCCUCAUCUACUAAGUGUGUCACUUUGUCAUAGGAGAUCAGGUUCGUCAAGCAGGACCUGCCUUUCAUAAACCCGUCCUGACUGGGACUGAUUGCCUGGUUGCCCUGUAAGUGCCACGUGAUGACACUCAAAAUAAUCUGCUCCAUGAGCUUCCCUGGCACUGAGAUCAAAAUAGCAGGCCUUAAUUCC